GACGUAGGGGGUAAGCGUUGUUCGGAAUUAUUGGGCGUAAAGAGCUCGUAGGCGGUGUGUCACGUCGGCCGUGAAAACCUGCAGCUUAACUGUGGGCGUGCGGUCGAUACGGGCAUCACUGGAGUUCGGCAGGGGAGACUGGAAUUCCUGGUGUAGCGGUGAAAUGCGCAGAUAUCAGGAGGAACAACGGUGGCGAAGGCGGGUCUCUGGGCCGAUACUGACGCUGAGGAGCGAAAGCAUGGGUAGCGAACAGG
rnacentral:rRNA from 1 species